UACAGAGGGUGCAAGCGUUACUCGGAAUUACUGGGCGUAAAGCGUGCGUAGACGGUCAUGUAAGUCGGGUGUGAAAGCCCCGGGCUCAACCUGGGAAUUGCAUUCGAGACUGCAUGGCUAGGAUGCGGAAGAGGGAAGCGGAAUUUCCGGUGUAGCGGUGAAAUGCGUAGAUAUCGGAAGGAACACCAGUGGCGAAAGCGGCUUCCUGGUCCAGCAUCGACGUUCAGGCACGAAAGCGUGGGGAGCAAACAGG
rnacentral:rRNA from 1 species